rnacentral:rRNA from 1 species
AUUGAACGCUGGCGGCAGGCUUAACACAUGCAAGUCGAGCGGUAACAGAGAGAAGCUUGCUUCUCUGCUGACGAGCGGCGGACGGGUGAGUAAUGCCUAGGAAUCUGCCUAGUAGUGGGGGAUAACUUGCCGAAAGGUAAGUUAAUACCGCAUACGUCCUACGGGAGAAAGGAGGGGACCUUCGGGCCUUUCGCGAUUAGCUGAGCCUAGGUCGGAUUAGUUAGUUGGUGUGGUAAUGGCUCACCAAGACCGCGAUCCGUAACUGGUCUGAGAGGAUGAUCAGUCACACUGGAACUGAGACACGGUCCAGACUCCUACGGGAGGCAGCAGUGGGGAAUAUUGGACAAUGGGGGGAACCCUGAUCCAGCCAUGCCGCGUGUGUGAAGAAGGUCUUAGGAUUGUAAAGCACUUUAAGUUGGGAGGAAGAGCAGUUAACUAAUAUUUGACUGUUUUGACGUUACCGACAGAAUAAGCACCGGCUAACUUCGUGCCAGCCGCCGCGGUAA